UUUGAAUUACAGAAGUUCCUGUUCACACUGAGGGUCAUUCAAAGGAUGAUCUAGUGGAUACUUAAAGCUUCAAAAAGACUGUCCCUACAGCAAGAGGACCAGCCUAAACCAUACUCCACACAAGGGGAGCAGAUGCUUGUUAGAGACCUUUUACGAUGUAAUUAACCAAGCAGUUCAGAAACCUGGGGAACAAACACUAAAGGCAUUUUUACAAGUGAUGCAAAGAAAGCUUUUUGUUUGGAAUGCAUCCCUUGUGAAUGUUGUUAGUACGGUAUACAAAGCAAUAGAAAACCAUUUUUAAAUUGAAUGUAUAUUCUGGUCAAUGUAGAUUUAACUUCCAUUCUAUAAAUACAAGAAAU